rnacentral:rRNA from 1 species
GGGGGGGGGAUAUUGGUCAAUAGCCUAACGGCUGAACCAGCAACUUGGAGGAAUGUAUAGCAAUAGCUACUUGUAUCAUUAAUGAUGCAAGCUCGACUAUGUUGAAUAAAAUUCUAGGUAGAAUUAUGAUAAUGACAUUGUCUGCCUAUGUGUCUUGACCAAAUUACGUGCCAGCAGUCGCGGUAAUACGUAGAAGACUAGUGUUAUUCAUGUUUAAUCGGUUUAAAGGGUACCUAGACGGUGAAUCAAGCUUUAGAAUAAAGAAGAAAAGGAACUAAUUCGCUAGAGUUACUUACGAGGGGGUAGUAAAGUACUGCUGGUGUAGAGAUGAAAUUCUGUCAUACCUCUUUUCGAAAGAAAAAUUAUGGCACAGGUAUAGGCGAAGGCAUCCCCUUAUGUGAUAACUGACGUUGAGGGACGAAGGCUUCGUGGAACAAACAGGAUUAGAUACCCUAGUAGUUGAAGCAGAAAAUGAUGAAUGUCAUAGAUUAGACGUCUAAGUUUAUUCUAUAAAUGAAAGUGUAAGCAUUCCACCUCAUGAGUAAUUUGGCAACAUUGGAAUUGAAAUCAUUAGACCGUUUCUGAAACCAGUAGUGAAGUAUGUUGUUUAAUUUGAUAAUACGCAAAAAACCUUACCACAAUUUGAAUAUUUAUAUUGUUUAUUGUUAUCUUAUUAAUUUUCUUAAAAAAACUAAUUAUAGCAAAAGCAUUUUAAAACAGGAAAAGAAAAUUAAUCAAGAGGCAAUAACAUAUAUCUACAAGCGUUGCACGGCUGUCUUCAGUUAAUGUCGCGAGACUUUGGUUAGUUCCAUUAAACUUAAGCGUAAACCC